rnacentral:rRNA from 1 species
GAUGAACGCUAGCGACAGGCCUAACACAUGCAAGUCGAGGGGCAGCACAUGAGUAGCAAUACGAUGGUGGCGACCGGCGCACGGGUGAGUAACACGUAUGCAACCUGCCUGUAAGAGGGGAAUAACCCGGAGAAAUUCGGACUAAUACCGCAUAAUACCACGAGACUGCAUGGUUUUGUGGUUAAACAUUUAUGGCUUACAGAUGGGCAUGCGUAUGAUUAGAUAGUUGGUAGGGUAACGGCCUACCAAGUCUACGAUCAUUAGGGGUUCUGAGAGGAAGGUCCCCCACACUGGUACUGAGACACGGACCAGACUCCUACGGGAGGCAGCAGUGAGGAAUAUUGGUCAAUGGGCGAGAGCCUGAACCAGCCAAGUCGCGUGAAGGAAGAAGGUUCUAUGGAUUGUAAACUUCUUUUGCAGGGGAAUAAAGGACGGUACGUGUACUGUUUUGUAUGUACCUUGCGAAUAAGGAUCGGCUAACUCCGUGCCAGCAGCCGCGGUAA